UUAACUCCGAUUUGUAUGCAGUUGGAACAGCGCCCCUAGCGGCAAACGUAGGCAAACAUUCCAACUCCAUACAAAUUUUAGUUA
rnacentral:pre_miRNA from 1 species